CAGCCUCCCAGGUAGCUGGGACUACAGGCAUGCACCACCACACCCAGUUUCCUGUAUUGGCUGUGCUCGAAUAUCCACGUGCAGGCUUUGUGUGAACAUGAGCUUAUCUCUCUGGGUAAAAUCACCAGGCUGUGUGGUAGUUGCAGCCCCUCAUCCAUUUGUAUAUUUGUUAGAAGAGAUUGAAUAAAUUGAUGUUACUUAGAAUUCACUAAUGAAGACAUCUAGACCUGGAGAUUUCUUUUUCAGAAGAUUUCAUUGAAAAAAAAAUCCAUUUUUUAAAUAAAUACAGGACUAUUCA